ACAAUAUAUGACAUACAAUAAGCGAUACAAUUGGUAGCACCGUAAAUUAGGUAACAAAAGAUUAAACCAACUAUUAUCUGUAAUAAUAAACAGUGUGUUGUUAUAAAGCCGGGAAUACAUCUGAAGAACGUUGUCAUCAAUUCGCAUUUGUUUGCGUUUGUUCGUCAAGUGUAUGUACAUGGUCGUUUACAUUUCGGGAAGAUAGAUGGAUUUUACUUUUGUUUUUUAUUAUCAUUGUAGAGAAAGAAUUUAAGUGAAAAUCAGUUAUUAGUGCCAGUGUCUACUACAUAAUUAACAAUAAAAUUAUACAGCGAAGAAAAUGAAAAAAAAAAAGAAGGGCAAACAGACUUAUAUGACAUGGUUACCUACUGAUGUUCAAACAUCAAAGGAUAAUUUGUUCACAUGUGUCACUCUACUUAGAAACGUUUUCGCGAAUGUCUACGAACGAGCUACAAUGAUGGGAAUGUAAACGAAUGCGAAGGAAUGGCAAUGUAUUCCCAACUUUAUUUACGUAUCCGCUUGUACCAUAUGUGCAGGGGCGGAUUUAGUUUAAUAUUCCAGACAAAAAUCUAACAGAUGAACAUGAACAGACCUCCUUAAUUAGAUUAUUUUAG
rnacentral:lncRNA from 1 species